rnacentral:rRNA from 1 species
GGUCAAGCUUUUAAGGGUGCACGGUGGAUGCCUUGGCGAAGAGAGGCGACGAAGGACGUGGCAAGCUGCGAUAAGCCUCGGGGAGCCGCAAGCAGGCUUUGAUCCGGGGAUUUCCGAAUGGGGAAACCCAACUGGAGUUAUGUCCAGUUAUUCAAGCGUAAAUUCAUAGCGCUUGAAAGCGAACGGGGGGAAGUGAACCAUCUCAGUACCCCCAGGAGAAGAAAGCAAACGCGAUUCCGUCAGUAGCGGCGAGCGAACACGGAUGUAGCCCAAACCGGGAAGGUGCAAUAGCCCACAAGCGUUGCCUUGCCGGUGUUGUGGGGCGCUGUGCGAUCCGAUUGUGGUCGGGUCGGGGAGUUACCAACUAUCUGUCUAGUCAAACGUGCCUGGAAAGGCCGGCCAUAGAGGGUGAAAGCCCCGUAGGCGAAAGGCAAGAUAGCUCCUUAACAGCGUUCCCGAGUACCACGGGGCACGUGAAACCCCGUGGGAAACUGGGUGGACCAUCACCCAAGGCUAAAUACUCCUCUUCGACCGAUAGUGAACCAGUACCGUGAGGGAAAGGUGAAAAGCACCCCUGUUAGGGGAGUGAAAUAGUACCUGAAACCGUGCAUCUACAAG